CCAUAAUUGGGGUCACAUAAGAGAGACUUAACCCGGGGUCCAACAACACAUAAACAUAAAAGUAAAAGACGUGGAGCAUACCAAUAAUAAUAUCGGGAGAGUCCUUCUUCUCCUGAUAGGAUGGUAUGGCACAGAAUUUAUUCUGGCACUGACCGCCAGUAGUGCUAGAUGAAGCGCCCAUAGCAGGGGUGGGAUGGGGUAUAGGAGCUAGUGCACUAGUAUCCUGUUCUUGAGGUCGGGC
rnacentral:lncRNA from 1 species